rnacentral:rRNA from 1 species
AAAUUGAAGAGUUUGAUCAUGGCUCAGAUUGAACGCUGGCGGCAGGCCUAACACAUGCAAGUCGAACGGUAACAGGAAGCAGCUUGCUGCUUUGCUGACGAGUGGCGGACGGGUGAGUAAUGUCUGGGAAACUGCCUGAUGGAGGGGGAUAACUACUGGAAACGGUGGCUAAUACCGCAUAACGUCGCAAGACCAAAGAGGGGGACCUUCGGGCCUCUUGCCAUCAGAUGUGCCCAGAUGGGAUUAGCUUGUUGGUGAGGUAACGGCUCACCAAGGCGACGAUCCCUAGCUGGUCUGAGAGGAUGACCAGCCACACUGGAACUGAGACACGGUCCAGACUCCUACGGGAGGCAGCAGUGGGGAAUAUUGCACAAUGGGCGCAAGCCUGAUGCAGCCAUGCCGCGUGUAUGAAGAAGGCCUUCGGGUUGUAAAGUACUUUCAGCGGGGAGGAAGGUGUUGUGGUUAAUAACCACAGCAAUUGACGUUACCCGCAGAAGAAGCACCGGCUAACUCCGUGCCAGCAGCCGCGGUAAUACGGAGGGUGCAAGCGUUAAUCGGAAUUACUGGGCGUAAAGCGCACGCAGGCGGUCUGUCAAGUCGGAUGUGAAAUCCCCGGGCUCAACCUGGGAACUGCAUUCGAAACUGGCAGGCUUGAGUCUUGUAGAGGGGGGUAGAAUUCCAGGUGUAGCGGUGAAAUGCGUAGAGAUCUGGAGGAAUACCGGUGGCGAAGGCGGCCCCCUGGACAAAGACUGACGCUCAGGUGCGAAAGCGUGGGGAGCAAACAGGAUUAGAUACCCUGGUAGUCCACGCCGUAAACGAUGUCUACUUGGAGGUUGUGCCCUUGAGGCGUGGCUUCCGGAGCUAACGCGUUAAGUAGACCGCCUGGGGAGUACGGCCGCAAGGUUAAAACUCAAAUGAAUUGACGGGGGCCCGCACAAGCGGUGGAGCAUGUGGUUUAAUUCGAUGCAACGCGAAGAACCUUACCUGGUCUUGACAUCCACAGAACUUUCCAGAGAUGGAUUGGUGCCUUCGGGAACCGUGAGACAGGUGCUGCAUGGCUGUCGUCAGCUCGUGUUGUGAAAUGUUGGGUUAAGUCCCGCAACGAGCGCAACCCUUAUCCUUUGUUGCCAGCGAUUAGGUCGGGAACUCAAAGGAGACUGCCAGUGAUAAACUGGAGGAAGGUGGGGAUGACGUCAAGUCAUCAUGGCCCUUACGACCAGGGCUACACACGUGCUACAAUGGCGCAUACAAAGAGAAGCGACCUCGCGAGAGCAAGCGGACCUCAUAAAGUGCGUCGUAGUCCGGAUUGGAGUCUGCAACUCGACUCCAUGAAGUCGGAAUCGCUAGUAAUCGUGGAUCAGAAUGCCACGGUGAAUACGUUCCCGGGCCUUGUACACACCGCCCGUCACACCAUGGGAGUGGGUUGCAAAAGAAGUAGGUAGCUUAACCUUCGGGAGGGCGCUUACCACUUUGUGAUUCAUGACUGGGGUGAAGUCGUAACAAGGUAACCGUAGGGGAACCUGCGGUUGGAUCACCUCCUUACCUUAAAG